CCGCAGUUGGGAGGGGCCCGCGGCCCAUUAGCUUGUUGGUGGGGUCAAGGCCUACCAAGGCAACGAUGGGUAGCUGGUCUGAGAGGACGAUCAGCCACACUGGGACUGAGACACGGCCCAGACUCCUACGGGAGGCAGCAGUGGGGAAUCUUGCGCAAUGCGCGAAAGCGUGACGCAGCAACACCGCGUGAGGGAAGACGGCCUUAGGGUUGUAAACCUCUUUCAGAUGGGACGAAGGUUGUCCGGUUAAUAGCCGAGAUAAUUGACGGUACCGUCAGAAGAAGCUCCGGCUAACUACGUG
rnacentral:rRNA from 1 species